GCCAGGCUUGGUGGUGAAGGCCUGUAAUCCCAGCAACUUGGGAGGCUGAGGCAGGAGGACUACAGGUUCGAGUCCAGCCUCAG
rnacentral:sRNA from 1 species